UACCCUUGGCCAGGUUGAAGGUUGGGUAACACCAACUGGAGGACCGGAUGGGUAAGCGUUGAAAAGCUUUCCAAUGAGCUGAGGGUAGGGGUGAAAGGCUAAUCAAACUCGGAGAUAGCUCGUACUCCCCGAAAUGCAUUUAGGUGCAGCCUCUUUAUAGUAUAUCGUGAGGUAGAGCGACUGAUUGGAUGCGAGGGCUUCACCGCCUAUCAAGUCCAGAUAAACUCCGAAUGCGCGAUAUAUAUUUACAGGGAGUGAGGGCGCGGGUGCUAAGGUCCGUGUCCGAGAGGAGAAGAAUCCAGACCACCGGCUAAGGCCCCCAAAUGAUCGUCAAGUUGAACUAACGAGGUCGGAUCGCAGAGACAGCUAGGAUGUUGGCUUGGAAGCAGCCAUUCAUUUAAAGAGUGCGUAACAGCUCACUAGUCGAGCGAUCUGGCGUGGAUAAUAAUCGGGCAUAAACGAUCUGCCGAAGCCGUGGAUGUCGUAAGACAUGGUAGGGGAGCAUUCCAUGCGGCGUCGAAGAUGAGGGAUGACCCUUGUUGGAGCGCAUGGAAAAGCAAAUGUAGGUAUGAGUAACGAUAAGGGGGGCGAGAAACCCCCCCGCCGAAAGACCAAGGUUUCCUGAUCAACGCUAAUCGGAUCAGGGUGAGUCGGGACCUAAGGCAAAGCCGAACGGCGACGCCGAUGGAAGAAUGGGUUAAUAUUCCCAUACUGCCUCAUGGAGUGACGUGGAGACGGAGAAGUGACAGUCCUGCCGGCUGACGGAAUAGCCGGUUGAAGGGUGUAGAUAUUGAUUCCCGUAGGCAAAUCCGCGGGGAGAGUCGAACCUGAGAGUAUACGGAGCGCUUGCGCGACGUAAUAUGGACGUAACCAUGCUCCCGAGAAAAUCCGCUAAACUUAUCCAUGCGGCACCCGUACCGUAAACGGACACACGUGGUCGGGUUGAGAAUACUGAGGCGCUCGAGUGACUCACGGUUAAGGAACUAGGCAAAUUGACCCUGUAACUUCGGGAUAAAGGGUCCUCGUCGUAAGGCGAGGCGCAGAGAAUAGGUCCAGGCAACUGUUUAACAAAAACACAUGGCUGUGCUAAAUGGAAACAUGACGUAUACAGCCUGACACCUGCCCGGUGCUGGAAGGUUAAGAGGAGAUGUCAUCGCGAGAGAAGCGUUGAAUUGAAGCCCCAGUAAACGGCGGCCGUAACUAUAACGGUCCUAAGGUAGCGAAAUUCCUUGUCGGGUAAGUUC
rnacentral:rRNA from 1 species